CCUCCCCUUACCCGUCCCCUCCCCGCCUGCUCGGCUCAGCGUGGCGCUCCGCGGGCGGGACCGCUCCGAGCCCCGGCACCGCAAGGACGGCCACAAACAUCAUCUUCCACUUCUAGAAAAUCCCUGUGGAGGUGUAUGAUCUACAGGGACACUUGACCCCGGUCCAGAAGCAGCUGAGGGGUGAGACUUCACAGCACUCUCCAGACAACCUGCACCCCCACAGAACUUCUCCAGGGUUCUGGGGAGAGCAAGCUGAGCCAUAGCCAAAGAGGCCAUAUGACAUAGACGACACAGCAACACGAAAUCAGUACAACUACAGAUUAUCAAGUGUGCUGCUGGGGAAGAGAGAAGACCACUCACAUCUAAUGCUGGCUCUGGCUACAGUUCCAUUGCUCUGUCUAGUAAGUCCUGCAGCAAAAUAGAUCUUUAUACAGUGAGAAAUCUCAAGAAUGUGUACACUGCACUCUCCCUGCUCUGUACUGCAGAUUGCGCUCAUCUGUUGGAUAACUGCUGCUCGGUUUAAUUGGCCAAUAAAGUUGAACGCUCUCUAUGGGAA